ensembl:lncRNA
AUGCUGAUGUGGCCGAGGGGCCUGACCUGGCCACUUUUCCUGGAUCUAGGGGUGGGGAAAGUGCAGAGGCAUGCAUGCUCUUUUCUUUUCCUUUUCUCUAAAUUGUAUCACCAUUUUCUUUCUGUCUCAAAUCCCUCUGUCUCACAAGCUUCAAGAGCACUGUGCAGUGUCACCUGGGACUUUGAUGCUAUUUGUAGGCUGUUUGGAAGAAACAAGCCCGAGUCCUUUGAAUUGCCCCUGGAUGGCUCUGGGGAUAAAGCUGUCUGUGCCCUCAGUGAGGUUAUUGGAGCCUGAGCAGAUCACCUGGAAGAGGUAAGGCUGGGGAGGGAAAGUCCCACGCUCACACUAUGUGUCCUGAAUAGGUGGCUUAUUAAAUCACACAGAGCCCCAUAACAUGUCAUGUAGAGGAGUUCAUAUAGGCUUGAAUGGUGAGUUUUGCAGAAGAGAGGGUUUGUUUUAUUCUGAAUUUGUUUUAAAUAGGUAAGCCAAGUACAGGACACAAACUUUCAAAAACUGCCCGAGUAUACAGAUAUGGUAAAAAAAAAAAAAAAAAGUCUCUUUCCCAGUCCUGUUCCCAAGCUCUUCAGUUUUCCAUCCAGAAUCAGCCAUUGCUCCAAUUCACGGUGCAACCUUCUAGCGAUCCUUUCUCAGAACCACAAGCAUGUGUGUGGGGGUGGGUGGGAGUGUGUUCUCACAAAAAUGCAAACGGGUAAAUUACAUACGCUGUUUUUAACUUUGUUCUCUUCACUUAAGAUUGUAUUUUGGAGUGCUUUUUCUUAACAUACACUGUAUGGGUUGGGGGUAGAUUUAGAAAGCAGAAAAAACUUUUCCCAAAUGACUCUGAGCUUUGCUUUGCUUCAAGCAGCUCCUUGUUUCUGGCUGCCUUUUAUAGUGUGGCCCCCUGGGCCACCUAAAGCUGUCCUGCUUUGGGAGACAUCCUGCCAGGGGGAUGACAGGCAGGGGGCCCACCUCCCUGCCAGAUUCCACCAAAUUGAUUUGUGUCCUCUCUUCUUCCUGGAUGCCCCCAUCUGGGACUUGCUCUCAUGGUUUACUAGGUGAGACACAGCUCCAGCCCCUCACCUGGGUACUCAGUUGUUUUCAGGUCUUGUAGUUGGAUGAAGUAUUUCGGGGGCAGUAAGAAGAACAUGUCAGUUGCAAUUCUGUUUUGCAGAGGAGAGGGGCUGGCAACAGGCAGUGGUUUCAUGUCACGGUGAGCAUUUUUCCUGAAGAGUCUGGAGCGCAGGAAGUGGAAUGGGACAUAGGCCUCAACAUUAAAAGGCCAGUUAAAUGACUUUGGGGGCAGCCCUUGGGUCUUUCUAUAAUCACUUUGUCGAGCUAUUUCCUUCCUUCUCUUUCUCUUGCUCUAGGCCUGCUGAUCUUGCUCAUUUUCUUUUGAUGAGCUUUGUGAUCCCAGUGGUUCAUUUCUUCUGCCCCAAAGCAGCUUGGGACAAAUCAGACCAUCUUCUUCAUUUGAUUUAGAUGUUCCAAAGAAAUUUAUCAUGCUGGGUAUUUGUUUAAAUUUUCUCAGAUCAUAUUGCUUAUAAGAUUUUGCUAACUGAAUAAAGAAAAAACAAAGUUAGAUAUACUGAUCUCU